CGGGAAAUAGCUCAGUUUGGUAGAGCACUUGCUUCGGGAGUGAGGGGUCGCAGGUUCAAAUCCUGUUUUCCCGA
rnacentral:tRNA from 3 species